UACGGGGGGGGCAAGCGUUGUUCGGAAUUACUGGGCGUAAAGGGCUCGUAGGCGGCCAACUAAGUCGGAUGUGAAAUCCCCAGGCUUAACCUGGGAACUGCAUCCGAUACUGGAUGGCUUGAAUCCGGGAGAGGGAUGCAGAAUUCCAGGUGUAGCGGUGAAAUGCGUAGAUAUCGUGAGGAAGACCAGUGGCGAAGGCGGAUCUCUGGACAGCUCCUGACGCUGAGGCGCGAAGGCUAGGGGAGCAAACGGG
rnacentral:rRNA from 1 species